rnacentral:misc_RNA from 1 species
UUGUGUAGUGUUUUUGGUUUGUCUCGUCACUUUUUCAUCUUACCGCAAUUUCAGUAGCCCAAUUAUUUCUGAUAAUUUAGAGUGUAGACUAUAUUCAAGAAAGAGUGUUUUGAUUAUAACAUCAACAAGCAUGCAGCUUAUACUCUCGUAUUUAUUAUUUGACGUAUGCAGCACACAAUUUUUUAAGUCCAGGGAUAUCAGGUUUGAUCAUCAUAAAUCUUCAAAGAACCGAAUAAAGAAUUAAUUUACAAUCAGAUUCAAGCUUCGAAUCGACCAUUCAUUCAAAUUGAUCAAAACGUUUCUCUGUUGACUCAAGGCUCCAAAAUUGUAACUUUUGGUCGGGACUGUAGAAACCGUUCACAAUCGUGUAGUACGUGAAGUUUGUAAUAACAGGAAUAACUAAUAACAGUCCGCAAUAUUCUUCAGACGAAAAUAUCGAAACCAAAGUACAAUUCUUCAUUGGUACAAUCAUGAGCACGCUUUAUGCCUAUAAGCUACUUCCGCCUCCGUAGUUCGUGGCUUGUAGCUGUAUGUCAAAGUGUUCGUGCGACAUGACAUAUGAUUUUUAACUCAGCGUCCGUUAGUAAUAUUAUAUCUAGCCACUAAUUGUACAGUUAAAAAUUCAGCGAUGUCUUCGUCAGAUGUUUCGAUGCUCGUAGACAUGGGUUUCAGCCAGGCAAAAGCCGAGCGAGCCCUACAAAUUACCGGAAACAAAGGUGUCGAGCCGGCUAUGGAAUGGCUCCUUGCUCAUUCCGAUGAAGCUGAACCUUCCCCUGGGCUUAUGGCCGAAAAUCCUGUCAGUAUACCCGUACCAGCAACUGAAUCUCCACAGGAAAAUAUCGCUGAUGCAAGUAACGAAGAUGAAUCAGCAGCAACUGCCAAAUCCAUUAAAUGCGAUGUAUGUGGGAAACUAUUCAAAUCUAAUUUAGAGGUGGAAUUUCAUGCCACAAAGUCCGGACAUGACAGUUUCUCUGAAAGCACGGAAGAGAAGAAGCCACUGACGGAAGAGGAGAAGAAAGAGCAAUUGAGGUUAUUAGAAGAAAAAAUGAGACAAAAGAGAAAAGAGCGAGAGGAACUGGAAAAAAAAGAAGCAUUUGAAAAGGAGAAAUUGAGGAUACGCUCAGGCAAAGAGAUGGUCGAAGCCAAGAAAAAGCUUGAAGACUUGGAAAUGAAGAAAUUAUUAGAGCAACGGAAAAGGGAAAAAGAAGAGGAGAAAUUAGCAAAGCAGAGAGUAAGAGAGCAAAUCGAAGCUGACAAAGCAGCAAGACGUGCUAGAGCCGCCUCUGACGCUGGACGUGUUACACUUUCCCCUGUAGCUUCGAUUGCUGCGCCAACCGUCGUAUCAACGGGUCCAAAAAAAAAUUAUAGCGAAACAAAAUUGCAGCUUGAAUUAUGUAUUUUAGAUCAGACUAACAAAUGGUCAGGCAUUAACACAGACCUUUGGAUCCAAGGAACAGCUUUCUGCUGUACGAUUGUAUAUUGAAAUGAAUAGAACUGAUGGUUCGGGGUUGUUUAAUUUAAUGACUACAUUUCCUCGGAAAAUUUUCACAGAGGACGAUUACGAAAAACCAUUGGACAUUUUAGGCUUGGUACCGACAGCUGUUGUGAUAGUACAGAAGAAAACGGAAUUACAGUAGCAGAAAUUAUUGUUUUAAUGGCAUUAUAAACUGCGUAAUGCGAUUACAAUUUGACAAACAUUAAUACUAACUACAUAAAAUAAUGUAAAUUAAAGCACUUUAAUACUAUAAAAUUGUUAUUCAUACCAUUCAUAGACCACUAUUUGUAACGUUGCUGUAAUACGUACAUUCAAUCAUUCUGUAACUGGAUUUUAACUUGGCACAUCAAUCAAUUUUGAAUUUCUUGUAAUAAUGUAUGAGCAUGAGAUAACUCGUUUGGAUUACCUGUUCACCAAACAGCUCUUUGGGUACUUGAAAAAGUGCAUAUAAUAGAUACAGUACAUUUUUUUUUAUUCUAAUAUGUAUAAUUUUUCUAAAAAAAAUAAAAAUAAAUAAGUUAUGCUUUUAUCAGUCACUAGUUUCCUGUCACAAAACUUGACACUGAAACAUCGUAUUUUCUUCGAGUUACAUUAUAACAUUACAUUAGUUAAGUUGCUAGAUAUUUCUGGGUUGCUGUAUAAUGGCAAUAGACAAAAUUACACUCAUAAUACAUUAUACAAUUUUCAAUUUGCCUAGUUUGAACGUAUUGAUUACUAUUUUACUAAUAUAACAUUGUAAUUGGAUGGAACUGCACUGGGAUAAUUCACUGGCUUCUUCCGAUCACAGUUUGAAGGAAAGUCAACGAUGUUGUUACAAUCAGUCAGCUUCAAGCCUUUAUCCAGGCAAAUCCGUAUUUCGAAUAUGUAAGAUUCAUGCGUUUUCUACAAUGUAAUAAUAUAAUAUAUGUAGAAAUAACAUUCGUUUGAGACACAAUUUUCGGCUAUCAUGUCAAGUAAGGAUGUAGAGAUUUUGGUAUUCCAAUAAUUAUAUCUCUGUCAAAAAGAAACUUAAAUAUUUAAAAACAGAAAAUUGUUGCAUAAUCUGACGAUAACUUAAAAUAUCAACGAUGGUACAAAACAUUGAAUGAAAUUAAUAUUAAAAAGAAAGUCUCACCGGAUUUUUGAUACACUCGACCUCAAUAGUUUUUCCUAAAAUCUUUUCCACACCACUAAUGAUUUGCUCUACGGCAUAAGCUUGACCAACGAAUAUUCCUGCCUUGGCAAGCACAUGAGUCAUGUCAUAUUCUUUCAACAGAUCCAAUCCUUUUUGAAAAUAUUUCAAUUCUGUAUUCAAAGGAUCAAGGACGGAUGCACAGGUACCAUGUUUGUCCCACUCAUGUUUCCAGAAUGAAAAGUGUGGUGUUCCAUCUUCAAUGUUUAUCCAUUUCUCAUCCAACUGAUGAAUUAUUGGGAUUAAAGUAGACGCAUUAAAACCCUGUG